rnacentral:rRNA from 1 species
GUAGGUGGCGAGCGUUAUCCGGAUUUACUGGGCGUAAAGCGCGUGCAGGCGGUUCCGUAAGUCGGACGUGAAAGCUCCUGGCUUAACUGGGAGAGGCCGUUCGAUACUGCGGGACUUGAGGUCGGGAGAGGGACGUGGAAUUUCCGGUGUAGUGGUGGAAUGCGUAGAUAUCGGAAGGAACACCAGUGGCGAAGGCGGCGUCCUGGCCCGCACCUGACGCUAAGACGCGAAAGCGUGGGUAGCGAACGGGAUUAGAUACCCCGGGUAGUCCACGCCGUAAACGGUGGAUACUAGGUGUUGGUGGCUAUCGUCAUCAGUGCCGUAGCUAACGCGUUAAGUAUCCCGCCUGGGGACUACGGCCGCAAGGCUAA